rnacentral:rRNA from 1 species
GCGGCGAGCGAAAUGGGAAGAGCCUGUACGUGAUAGUCGGACCGAUAACAGAAUCCUCUGGAAAUAGGAGCCAUAGUGGGUGAUAGCCCCGUAUGUGAAAUCGGACCGGUGAUACUAAGCGUACGACAAGUAGGGCGGGACACGUGACAUCCUGUCUGAAUAUGGGGGGACCAUCCUCCAAGGCUAAAUACUCGUAAUCGACCGAUAGUGAACCAGUACCGUG